AAUAAUGUUUUGACUCUUCGUCUUAUUUAAAUUUUUUACGAUUAAUAUUUUUAUUUUAACUAGAUGAUAAAACAUGAAUAAUACUUUAUGCGUGACUAACUUUUUUAUGUUUUUUUUUAUAAAUUUUCCAAAUAAAACGAAUGCUCAAACGUUGGACAUGGAAAAAC
rnacentral:pre_miRNA from 1 species